GUCUAUGGCCGUACCACCCUGAACGCGCCCGAUCUCGUCUGAUCUUGGAAGCUAAGCAGGGUCGGGCCUGGUUAGUACUUGGAUGGGAGAAAACCUUUUCUGAGAAGGACCCAGUAGUAAAUACUGAGGCCAUAUGGU
rnacentral:rRNA from 1 species